UUCAGAGGGGACUGUCCAUCAUGGUGGAGGCUGGAAAAGUUUGGUCUGUGGUGGUGAGAGCUUGCAUUGUAGCUUGUUCACACCUUGGCAGAUCAGGAAAAAGAGGGCCAAAAUCAGAAGCAGGAUCUCCUGACUGGAGGAGAGAAGCAGCCCCAUGUUCUUGGCCACAUCCAUCAAGAGUGAAGGUCUUGUUUUAGACACUGGAAAAAGAGAGAUGGUUGGAAGCACGUCACAGCUCAUGUACUACAGACUCCUGAUCCCCUUUCCUGGUUUUUGUAAAAAAAAAAAAAAAAAAAAGUUAGUAGAUUUUCAUAAAUAGGUAUUUCUUUACUUUCUAGUGUUCUUAGCACAAUUUCCAGAUACUGAACAACAGCUGAGCUAAAAAUAGUAUUUAGCAGUUUUGGGUACCCUUGAAGAGUAGGGACAUGAACCAAUUCACAUUGGUGGUCAGGAAGUGGGAUACUAGUUUUUAAAAGUAGCUUGGACAGAUGAUUGACAAAUUUU
ensembl:sense_intronic Gm12594 predicted gene 12594